rnacentral:rRNA from 1 species
CACGUAGGCGGUUUGGUAAGUUUGAUGUGAAAUCCCCCCGACUCAAUCGGGGAAGUGCAUUGAAUACUGCUAGACUUGAGUGUAGGAGGGGAGAACGGAAUUCCUGGUGUAGAGGUGAAAUUCGUAGAUAUCAGGAGGAACAACGGCGGCGAAGGCGGUUCUCUGGACUAUUACUGACGCUGAGGUGCGAAAGCGUGGGGAGCGAACA